rnacentral:rRNA from 1 species
CGGCGAGUGAGCGGCAAAAGCUCAAAUUUGAAAUCUGGUACCUUUGGUGCCCGAGUUGUAAUUUGAAGAUAGUUUUCUGGUGCUGGCCCUUGUCUAUGUUCCUUGGAACAGGACGUCACAGAGGGUGAGAAUCCCGUCUGGCGGGGUGUCCAGUGCUUUGUAGAUUUCUAUCGACGAGUCGAGUUGUUUGGGAAUGCAGCUCUAAGUGGGUGGUAAAUUCCAUCUAAAGCUAAAUAUUGGCGAGAGACCGAUAGCGAACAAGUACAGUGAUGGAAAGAUGAAAAGAACUUUGAAAAGAGAGUGAAAAAGUACGUGAAAUUGUUGAAAGGGAAGGGUAUUAGAUCAGACUUGGUGUUUUGUGAUUAUCUUCCCUUCUUGGGUUGUGCACUCGCAUUUCACUGGGCCAGCAUCGGUUCGGGUGGUAAGAUAAUGACAUUGGAACGUGGCACUGCCUUCGGGUGGUGUGUUAUAGCCCUUGUUGAUGUUGCCUAUCUGGACCGAGGACUGCGGCUUUUGCCUAGGAUGCUGGCGUAAUGAUCUAACACCGCCCGU